GGCAUAAAAAAUUACGACCCAAACGUUAUGUAACGACACCGUAUAGUGUUGGGGGCUUUUAUUCUUGUGCGUGUUUGCUGCAAUUGCUGGUUUUGUUCUUUCUAUCAUACGCGACUUUUCUUCUAAAUUCUCACAAGGUAACUGGAAAUGGGAUCAAGACACCGUGUUCACCGAGAGCCUAUGAAUCCUCGAAGGGGGUAUCCACCUGAAGGGCCUUAUGCUCGUGGCCCACCGAUUCAACAACGGGCGCCUAUUCCUCCUCAUCCAGCUCUGUUAGAAGAAGAGCUUGAAGUACAGCAUGCUGAAAUGCGGAGGCUAGUGGCAGAUAACAGGAGACUGAUUGAUGACAGGAUGGCGUUGCAGCGAGACCUUGCUGCUGCGAAGGAGGAGCUCCAUCGCAUGAAUCUGGCUAUUGGUGACAUUCGUGCUGAACAUGAGAUGCAUUCGAGGGAGCUUGUUGACAAAAGCAUGAAGUUGGAGUCUGAUCUUAGGGGGACUGAGCCGUUGAAGAAUGAAGUUAUACAACUGCGAGCUGAAGUUAAGAAACUUAGUAAUAUCAAACAAGAUCUUUCUGGAAAGGUUCAGACACUCACACAAGAUGUUGCUAGGUUACAGGCUGAUAAUCAACAAAUUCCUUCGUUGAGGAAUGAGAUUGAUGGUUUGCACCAAGAACUGAUGCGUGCUAGAACAAUGGUGGAUUAUGAAAAGAAGGCAAACAUGGAGUUCAUGGAUCAGAGGCAGUCAAUGGAGAAAAACAUGGUUUCCAUGGCCCGGGAAGUUGAGAAACUUCGUGCGGAGCUUGCUAGCAUGGAUGGAAGACACUGGGGAGCUGGGGGGCCUUAUGGAACGAAGUUUGGUAGCCCAGAGGGAGGUUUUCCAUCUCCAUACGCAGAUGGAUAUGGUCUUCACAUGGGUGCUGCAGAGAAAGGUCCUCUUUAUGGGGUGGGGGCUCCUUCAAGGAAAGCACACGAGAAGCCUCGCACAAACCGUCGUUGAAUCCAAGUGAUUGAUGUUGGUGAUGAAGAAAGGCUUGCCAUCUCUCUGGCUGUGUUAUUGGAGUAGCGGAUUCAUGUCCUUCUGUAUGGAAAGCUGGAAACCUUGUUUGGGACUGAAUAGUAAGGAUAAAUCCCCACAAACAGCUUUUGACCAUAACACCGUGAGAUUUUGCGGAACACCAGGAUGUUUUAUUAUUUUAAAAUGCAAAAUUGGAUGAAGGUUACUGUGGUAAGAAGGAAGGUAGGUCACUGUUGGUUGAAGGAUGUAUUUUAGCCUGCUUUGAUGGAUCUAGAUAACACAUUAGCCUGCUUUUGUUCUUUUUUAUCGGGUAGUUGUGACAUUGGAAAUAAUUUUUUUAAAAGGUAUUCCCUCUGGCCUUAUAUAUUGAGUCAACAAAAGUUGGAUGUUUUUGAUCCAUCAAAUACUCCAACUUUAUUUGACUCACUUUCACUUAUGUUGAAUACCAGAGGGAGUAUCAUGGAUUGUUUGAAAAAUGCAAACAUAAAAAGUUUUAGUUUGCUAGAUGGAUCGCUGACUCCUUGUUUCAGAUGUUUCCUUACUUUGUUUGUGAAAUAAAGGACGCCUCACUAAGAUAUGUUGAAUUUUUGUUUAAGUACAGGCAAACUACACAAGACCCUGGAUAGUCAUGUUUUGUUGAUUUGUGUUUCCCUACUUGGUACCUACACAUAUGGUUUUAUAGUGGUUGAUCAAAGAGUUUCUCAACAGUUUAGACGUUAUUUACUAGCAUACUUAAGGGUGAUUAAUUUUUAUGCUGAUGGUUUAGUUGGGCUUGGUCAUGCU